CUUUAGAGAGCAGGCAAGGCUGUAGGAAUCUCACACCAUCCACCCCACUCUUGCCCUUACACCUCUGGUCCCUGCUUUCCUUCCUGGAGGAGAAGGCAGGUACCUGGCAUGCUGACUCCCAUGUGGGCACAGCCCCACUGCACUCCACCAUGACUGCAAGGACUUGGUAGGACAGACCCUAAGGCCUCCUACUCCCAAUUCCUUCAGAAAUACAGUAGAUCAAGGAGAAAGAAAGAACCCUUAAUUAGAAUGCAGCAGCAUUGGGGUUCUUUUCGCUGACAGGGUGCCCUCUGGGCUUCUUUUUGCUCAUCAGUUUCUGACCACAGGAAGGCAACUCUGGAUGGGAUAAACUCUCUAAACUAUGCCUGUCCAGAGGGUAGGGAGCAGGUGAGCUUGUAGAGGCUGAGGACUGCACAGAUCUCUGCUUUUCCCUGAGCCCUUAGCUGAGCUAAAGGCACAGCUCACCUCACUCAGGUUUACCCUUCCAUUGCAAGCCUGCAUACCCAGCCACAAGCCCACAUUUGGAGAGUGCAGAUGUUUUGUCUACCCAGUCUGGACUUGGGCCGAGCCGCCUCCUCCUAGAGGUGCCCCCCAAAGCAAAAGGGUCCAAAGCCUCCCUUUUCCAUUUCCUGACCCUGAAGAUCCACAUGACUAGCCUUCUCCAUCUUCUCUGCCCCCGGGAGGAAGCCAGCAGAGGUGGGAGCUAGGUAGUUGGUCAGCAGACCUGGCUGAUUGGUCCAAGAAAAAAUAAACCAACCCUUGGCUUGAUCAAAGCUGAGAGGCUGGCAGGGCACAGUGGCUUACGCCUAUAAUCCUAGCACUUUGGGAGGCUAAGGUGGGAGGAUCACGAGGUCAGGAGAUCGAGACCAUCCUGGCUAACAUGGUGAAACACCAUCUCUACUAAAAAUACAAAAAAUUAGCGGGCAUGGUGGCAUGCUCCUGUAGUCCCAGGUACUCAGGAGGCUGAGGUUGCAGUGAGCUGAGAUUGGCCACUGCACUCCAGGCUGGGCGACAGAGAGAGACUCUGUCUCAAAAAAAAAAAAAAAAAAAAAAAAUGCUGAGAGGCUGGGGGCCCUGCUGAGUGGGAGGCUCAUCAGCAACCCUGAAAUGUCAUUGUAGAAAACUGCCCCUGUGAGCCUGAGUAGCUGGAAAUAGCACCAGGAAAGCAGCAAUCCCAGCCUGCAAUAGCUAGGCUAAUUCUCCCCAGCAGCUUUCAUGGAGGACAGUAGUCACUGCCCCCAUUUUCCAUGAAAAGUAACAUGAAUCCUGGCUGUAUAAGGGGCACUUACUGUGCUGGGUGCUAGGCUAAGUGCUGUACAUGCACCUUCUCAGUCCAUUAGAGAAGUCUAGGCUCAGAGAGAGGAGUGGAGUGAGGAUUCCUUGACCCCUCAGACCACUGUGGUCCUCCCAUCCCACCUCCUGGGCAGCCUGGUAGAGGAGACAUUCCUUUAAUUCUUCCUGCCUAAUUUAGAGGCUGGGUGGGGGUCUGAAGGUUCACUCCCUUCACAUCAUCCCACUAGUCUACUUUGGGAAGAAUUACAGGUUGUUGGAGCUGGAAGCCCCAUUCUAGGCAUGGUCUGAAGACCUGAACAAUCCCAGGGGGUGGUGAAGGGGGCAGGGAGGAGAUGGGC
rnacentral:lncRNA from 1 species